rnacentral:tRNA from 1 species
GGGGAAGUGGCAGAGUGGUCGAAUGCGGCGGUCUUGAAAACCGUUGGGCUUCACGGUCCCGGGGGUUCGAAUCCCUCCUUCCCCGCCA